AUUGAACGCUGGCGGCAUGCCUUACACAUGCAAGUCGAACGGUAGAGUAGCAAUACUUGAGAGUGGCGAACGGGUGAGUAAUAUAUCGGAACGUGCCCAGUCGUGGGGGAUAACGUAGAGAAAUUUACGCUAAUACCGCAUACGAUCUAAGGAUGAAAGCGGGGGAUUCGCAAGAACCUCGCGCGAUUGGAGCGGCUGAUAUCAGAUUAGGUUGUUGGUGAGGUAAAAGCUCACCAAGCCGACGAUCUGUAGCUGGUUUGAGAGAACGACCAGCCACACUGGGACUGAGACACGGCCCAGACUCCUACGGGAGGCAGCAGUGGGGGAAUUUUGGACAAUGGGCGCAAGCCUGAUCCAGCAAUGCCGCGUGCAGGAUGAAGGCCUUCGGUU
rnacentral:rRNA from 1 species